UACGUAGGGUGCAAGCGUUGUCCGGAAUUAUUGGGCGUAAAGAGCUCGUAGGCGGUUUGUCGCGUCUGCUGUGAAAUCCCGAGGCUCAACCUCGGGCCUGCAGUGGGUACGGGCAGACUAGAGUGCGGUAGGGGAGAUUGGAACUCCUGGUGUAGCGGUGGAAUGCGCAGAUAUCAGGAAGAACACCGGUGGCGAAGGCGGUCUGCUGGGCCAAGACUGACGCUGAGGCGCGACAGCGUGGGGAGCAAACAGG
rnacentral:rRNA from 1 species